rnacentral:rRNA from 1 species
GACGAACGCUGGCGGCGUGCCUAAUACAUGCAAGUCGAACGAGAGCGACCGGUGCUUGCACUGGUCAAUCUAGUGGCGAACGGGUGAGUAACACGUGGGUAACCUGCCCAUCAGAGGGGGAUAACAUCUGGAAACGGAUGCUAAAACCGCAUAGGUCUUCGAGCCGCAUGGCUUGAAGAGGAAAAGAGGCGCAAGCUUCUGCUGAUGGAUGGACCCGCGGUGCAUUAGCUAGUUGGUGAGGUAACGGCUCACCAAGGCCGUGAUGCAUAGCCGACCUGAGAGGGUGAUCGGCCACAUUGGGACUGAGACACGGCCCAAACUCCUACGGGAGGCAGCAGUAGGGAAUCUUCCGCAAUGGACGCAAGUCUGACGGAGCAACGCCGCGUGAGUGAAGAAGGUUUUCGGAUCGUAAAACUCUGUUGUUAGAGAAGAACAAGUGCUAGAGUAACUGUUAGCGCCUUGACGGUAUCUAACCAGAAAGCCACGGCUAACUACGUG